rnacentral:rRNA from 1 species
GACGAACGCUGGCGGCGUGCUUAACACAUGCAAGUCGAACGGAAAGGCCCUGCUUUUGUGGGGUGCUCGAGUGGCGAACUGGUGAGUAACACGUGAGUAACCUGCCCUUGACUUUGGGAUAACUUCAGGAAACUGGGGCUAAUACCGGAUAGGAGCUCCUGCUGCAUGGUGGGGGUUGGAAAGUUUCGGCGGUUGGGGAUGGACUCGCGGCUUAUCAGCUUGUUGGUGGGGUAGUGGCUUACCAAGGCUUUGACGGGUAGCCGGCCUGAGAGGGUGACCGGCCAAAUUGGGACUGAGAUACGGCCCAGACUCCUACGGGAGGCAGCAGUGGGGAAUAUUGCACAAUGGGCGGAAGCCUGAUGCAGCAACGCCGCGUGCGGGAUGACGGCCUUCGGGUUGUAAACCGCUUUCGCCUGUGACGAAGCGUGAGUGACGGUAAUGGGUAAAGAAGCACCGGCUAACUACGUG